rnacentral:rRNA from 1 species
GAUGAACGCUGGCGGCGUGCCUAACACAUGCAAGUCGAACGGGAACCCUUGGAUUCGUCUGGGGGGAGAGUGGCAAACGGGUGAGUAAUACGUAGGUGACCUGCCCCAAAGCGGGGAAUAACUGCUGGAAACGGUGGCUAAUACCCCAUGUGCUCGGUGGUUCGUUCUGCCGAGUAAAGUUCCGGCGCUUUGGGUGGGGCCUGCGGCCCAUCAGGUAGUUGGUAGGGUAAUGGCCUACCAAGCCGAUGACGGUAGGGGCGUGAGAGCGUGACCCCCCA